rnacentral:rRNA from 1 species
GGUUACUGCUAUCGAGGUUCGACUAAGCCAUGCGAGUCGAAUGUAGCAAUACAUGGCGAACUGCUCAGUAACACGUGGACAACCUGCCCUUAGGUUGGGUAUAAACCCGGGAAACUGGGUAUAAUACCCGAUAGGUCUCGAUUGCUGGAAUGCAUCGAGAUUUAAAGCUCCGGCGCCUAAGGAUGGGUCUGCGGCCUAUCAGGUAGUAGUGGGUGUAGCGUACCUACUAGCCUACGACGGGUACGGGUUGUGAGAGCAAGAGCCCGGAGAUGGAUUCUGAGACACGAAUCCAGGCCCUACGGGGUGCAGCAGGCGCGAAAACUUUACAAUGCUGGCAACAGCGAUAAGGGAACCUCGAGUGCCAGGUUACAAAUCUGGCUGUCGAGAUGCCUAAAAAGCAUUUCAUAGCAAGGGCCGGGCAAGACCGGUGCCAGCCGCCGCGGUAACACCGGCGGCUCGAGUGGUAACCGUUAUUAUUGGGUCUAAAGGGUCUGUAGCCGGCCGGAUAAGUCUCUUGAGAAAUCUGGCAGCUUAACUGUCAGGCUUUCACGAGAUACUGUCUGGCUCGAGGCCGGGAGAGGUGAGAGGUACUUCAGGGUAGGGGUGAAAUCUUGUAAUCCUUGAAAGGACCACCAGUGGCGAAGGCGUCUCACCAGAACGGACCUGACGGCAAGGGACGA